rnacentral:rRNA from 1 species
UACGAAGGGGGCUAGCGUUGCUCGGAAUCACUGGGCGUAAAGGGUGCGUAGGCGGGUCUUUAAGUCAGGGGUGAAAUCCUGGAGCUCAACUCCAGAACUGCCUUUGAUACUGCCGUGCUUGAGGACUGGAGAGGAGACUGGAAUUUACGGUGUAGCGGUGAAAUGCGUAGAUAUCGUAAGGAAGACCAGUGGCGAAGGCGGGUCUCUGGACAGUUCCUGACGCUGAGGAGCGAAAGCGUGGGGAGCGAACAGG